rnacentral:rRNA from 1 species
ACCGGGAGAAUAAGCUCCGGCUAACUCCGUGCCAGCAGCCGCGGUAAUACGGAGGGAGCUAGCGUUGUUCGGAAUUACUGGGCGUAAAGCGCACGUAGGCGGCUAUUCAAGUCAGAGGUGAAAGCCCGGGGCUCAACCCCGGAACUGCCUUUGAAACUAGAUAGCUUGAAUCCAGGAGAGGUGAGUGGAAUUCCGAGUGUAGAGGUGAAAUUCGUAGAUAUUCGGAAGAACCACCAGUGGCGAAGGCGGCUCACUGGACUGGUAUUGACGCUGAGGUGCGAAAGCGUGGGGAGCAAACCAGGAUUAGAUACCCUGGUAGUCCACGCCGUAAACGAUGAUAACUAGCUGUCAGGGCACAUGGUGUUUUGGUGGCGCAGCUAACGCAUUAAGUUAUCCGCCUGGGGAGUACGGUCGCAAGAUUAAAACUCAAAGGAAUUGACGGGGGCCUGCACAAGCGGUGGAGCAUGUGGCUUAAUUCGAAGCAACGCGCAGAACCUUACCAACGUUUGACAUCCCUAUCGCGGAUCGUGGAGACACUUUCCUUCAGUUCGGCUGGAUAGGUGACAGGUGCUGCAUGGCUGUCGUCAGCUCGUGUCGUGAGAUGUAGGGUUAAGUCCCGCAACGAGCGCAACCCUCGCCUUUAGUUGCCAGCAUUUAGUUGGGUACUCUAAAGGAACCGCCCGGUGAUAAGCCGGAGGAAGGUGGGGAUGACGUCAAGUCCUCAUGGCCCUUACGCGUUGGGCUACACACGUGCUACAAUGGCGACUACAGUGGGGCAGCCACCUCGCGAGAGGGAGCUUAAUCUUCCAAAAGUCGUCUCAAUUUCGGAUCGUUCUNCUGCAACUCGAGAGCGUGAAGGCGGGAAUCGCUAGUAAUCGCGGAUCACCAUGCCGCGGUGAAUACGUUCCCAGGCCUUGUACACACCGCCCGUCACACCAUGGGAGUUGGAUUCACUCGAAGGCGUUGAGCUAACCGUAAGGAGGCAGGCGACCACAGUGGGUUUAGCGACUGGGGUGAAGUCGUAACAAGGUAGCCGUAG